UACGUAGGGGGCUAGCGUUGUCCGGAAUCAUUGGGCGUAAAGAGCUCGUAGGCGGUCUGUCGCGUCGGCUGUGAAAACCCGGAGCUCAACUCCGGGCCUGCAGUCGAUACGGGCAGACUGGAGUUCGGCAGGGGAGACUGGAAUUCCUGGUGUAGCGGUGAAAUGCGCAGAUAUCAGGAGGAACACCGAUGGCGAAGGCAGGUCUCUGGGCCACUACUGACGCUGAGGAGCGAAAGUGUGGGGAGCGAACAGG
rnacentral:rRNA from 1 species